rnacentral:lncRNA from 1 species
GUGCGCUCACGUGCUGCUGGUCAGAGGAGCCGACAAGGAGCUGAAGAACUGCAAUAAUCAGAGUCCAUUCCAGGUGGCCAUAAUCUCUGGGAAUUUCGAGUUGGCGGAGCUGAUUAAGAAGCACAGAGAAAGUGACGUAGGGCACGUCUUAAUGUGAAAGAAAUGACUGGACUAAUCCAGGAGCGGCAGCUAGGAUUAAGAGCGAUGACGAGCCAGAGCUGCACUUAAGAUAUUCUCCUCUGAAACC